GAUAGAACGCUAGCGACAGGCCUAACACAUGCAAGGUCGAGGGGCAUCGGGACGUAGCAAUACGUUGCCGGCGACCGGCGGAUGGGUGAGUAACGCGUAUGCCAACCUACCCGUAGCGAGGGGGAUAGCCCGUUGAAAGACGGAUUAAUACCCCGUAACACAGGGGCUCCGCAUGGAGAUUAUUGUUAAAGGGUCAUUUCUUUUCAGGGAUGGUCCGGCUGCGGAUGGGCAUGCGUUCCAUUAGGUAGUUGGUGUAGGUAACUGCUCACCAAGCCGACGAUGGAUAGGGGAACUGAGAGGUUGGUCCCCCACACUGGUACUGAGACACGGACCAGACUCCUACGGGAGGCAGCAGUGAGGAAUUUUGGUCAAUGGACGCAAGUCUGAACCAGCCAUGUCGCGUGAAGGAGGACGGCCCUAAGGGUUGUAAACUUCUUUUGCAGUGGAAUAAAGUUUGCCACGUGUUGGCGAUUUGCAAGUACGCUGCGAAUAAGGAUCGGCUAACUCCGUG
rnacentral:rRNA from 1 species